GUCUUUGCGUUUCGGGCAAUGAAGAAGCUAGUGAGGUGGUGACCGAGGCACGUCUAUUGCUGGUAGAAAAUUGUUUCCGAACCCUCUCUUAGGCUUGAAUUUUGCUCAAGCCUUCGAUGAGAUGAACGAGAUAUUGGUGCGGUUCAAU